rnacentral:lncRNA from 1 species
GUCCGCGAACGUCGCCGUCCGGGACGGAGCGCCUCGCUCGCAACCCACCCCUCCUCUCUCGGCGACUCGGUUCUCCCUCCCGCGGGACGCCACCGGAGCUGACUGCCGCUGCUGGGGCCUGGCCGUUCUCUCAUGGUCAUGGAGACGCCUUCGCAGGUGAUUGCCCCCUCCUCGUCGUCACACUCCCUAGCUGCUAAGGGGUCACGUGGUGGUGUGCUGCCCGAUUGGAAUUGGGUGAAUCGGAUGCCCAAGGGGCUCACCUGGGGGAUUCGUUCUGAACUUAACACAGGUUGAUUUGCUGGAUUGAAGGUCCCGGAUUAUUCUCCCUGGUUUCUCAUGUGUUUGCAUCAGUGCAGAUGCAAGUUAGUCCUUGUUAACAGAGGAUUAUACAUUUAUACUCACCUCUCUCUCUCUCUCAAAAAAAAAAAAACUUAUAUGGUGUGUGCAUUCCCUUGGAGAUUGUAGUUGGAGGACAUGCAGCUUAGACGAAAAAAAAUGUACUCAUAACCCUCUGCUACUUAUCUAGCUGCCUGUAUGGUGGUUUUGUUUCUUUGGGUUAGGUUGAGAAGACAAAGGCCCUGUUUGUUUCGGCUUCUGGCAGCUUCUGGCCACCAAAAGCUGUUGCAGACUGCCAAACACUCAGCUUUUCAGCCAGCUUCUAUAAAAUUCGUUGGGGGCAAAAAACCAUCCAAAAUCAACAUAAACACAUAAUCGUUUGAGUCGUUGUAAUAGUAGGAAUCCAUCACUUUCUAGAUCCUGAGCCCUAUGAACAAUUUUAUCUUCCUCCACACGUAAUCGUAAUGAUACUUAGAUUCUCCCCACAGCCAGAUUCUCUCCACAGCCAGAUUUUCAGAAAAGCUGGUCAGAAAAAAGCUGAACCAAACACACCCAAAGGCAGACUAUUGCUUAAUGGUCCAAUGGAGGAAAGGGAUAAGAAUAGGAUCGACUAUCUAAACACAACAAUUUACAAGGAUGAUACAACAUACAACCUGCGCUAAAAUGAUAAGGCUCAAGAGAGGGUCCUUUCUUUCAGUUGCGUCAAGUUUUACAUGAAUGCUCCUUGUUCCAUGACGCUAUCCAUGUAAUACUGAGGAAUAAGUAGCUAUGUUCUUGAAUGCAAUCGGACACAACCUAAGAAAUAAGCUAAGCUGGGACUAAUUUCAGUAGGUCAGGUGAAACAGUUAGCAGAUAUUUGAACCUCGUAAUACAUGCAAUCGGGGAACUAGGCAAUUAGCUUAUUCGACCAGCGUUUUUGUAUACCCUGGCCAAAAUUGCAGGGAACUCAAGAUGGGAUCCAUGUUUUAAGGUAUGGCAUUCCAAAUUGUCCUGACACAUAUGCGGUCAAAAUUUUGAGUUUUUUUUUUGUAAUAUGUUGACCGUAUAGGAUCGUCGUAUUGGAGCAAUUGAUGGGUCAGAUAUAAGAGCAUCUAUGGAGACUGCCUUUCGUCGUAGGAAGUUAUUUGCAUCCCAAAAUGUGUUGGCAGCUACAAAUUUUUAUUUUCAUUCUACCAGAGGACAAUUGGACACCAAAGGCCAAAGCCACGGAGGACAGCACGAUAACAAGCAAAUAACCAUACGCUAAUGAUAGAGAAGAGAAAUGAUUUCUGAGAGAAUGUGGGCAGAUUGUUAAAACCACCGCGACAACUAAAAUAUGUAGUGCUUUAUGUAAUAGUGAACUAGCAAUGGCAUGGACUUUGCCCUGCUUGUUUUCUUUAUGUGAUAUACUAGUGAUGUUGUGGACAAAUCUUCAGUAUUCUCAUUGAAGUAAUUGACCCUGUUUAGGGGAGCUUUUGGCAGCUUUUGCUUCUCCAGAAAGCUCGAAGCUCUCUCAAACUGGAUAGCUUCUCCAAGCUGACAAAAGCUGCACUUUGUAGUAAAAGCAGAGAAGCUCCCUCAAAGCAGCUUCCCGAGCUUUAUCCAGAAAGCUUCUCUUGGAGGCGCUUUUGGAAAAGCUACAGCUCCCCCAGACAAGGAAAUUUAUCUUGGUGUUCAUUGUCAUUUUUUAUAACUUACACAGGAGAUGGACCCAGAGCAACAUGGGGACAACAUGGCAGGCAAGGGUGGAGCUGGACAGGUCUAUUGGUCCAACGCAAUGUCUAGUUUCGUGCUCAAAUAUUUGUCCGACCUAGUUGCGAGUGGAACUAAAACCACGAGCGGCUUCAAGCAAGCUCAUCUUAACAGCUGUGGUAGAGCUUUGUAUGAGAAGCUAGGUGUCCAGUGUUGGGGACUUGUUCUCAAAUGCUAAGAAUUAAGAACAAGGCAACAUAAAAAGUGUUAAGUGUUAAAGUCCUUCGUCCUUCGAAGCAUUAUGUCCCUUCGGGAAAUAAUGAGUUUCGGACGAAGGUCAUAAGAGACAUACCUUCGUAAACAUAACAAGUAAUGACGAAGGAUUCAUAUAAAGCAUGAAAUAUAAUAUAAGCAUCAUCAUAGAAUCAUUUCUAUUUUAUUAACAUGGAAAAAUAGAAAUGAUUUCAAAUUACAAAUGUACCUUCGGUCCUGAGAGAAGAUAAAAAGUACAAGCGUGACGCAAAAGCAAAUGCCAAGUCAGCGUGAACAGUACGGGAGUACUGUUCAUCUAUUUAUAGACGCGUGACGCAGCCCACGUAAAAUUACAUUUAUGUCCAUUACAUUUGUCAAUGACUUAUGGAAACCUGACAAGGUCCACGUAGUCUUUUCAUCUUUAAGUCGGUUCCCCUCUCUGCUAUCGCGACGAAGCUUCCCUGCGCACAGCUUCGGCUGUGCACCAUCCUUCGUGGAGCUUGGUAAUCAGCCCGUCCUUCGUCUGGUUCAGGCUUCGUCCUGACCGCACUUCAUGUUCGUAAUUCUGAGUCCGAAGGUACCUGUUCACAUAAUCCACUUGGAAAACAUUGUCAAAUCAUGUUUUUGAGGACCUUCGGAGGACGAAGGCCCCCAACAGUAGCCCCUCGCAAUAUUAAUUUGUUUGAAAUAAUAAAUUCAGAUUGCGAUAUGAACGAAGGCUUUAUGCCGAAGGUCCGAAAAAACACCUUCCCUUUGCUAGAAUAGCAACAUUCAAUGACAAGUGGGGUCUUUCAACUUUCAACGCAUCAAGCGUAUAAAUACGGCCAUACCGCAAACUUAUUUUGCACGCUUUCUGGCCAACCACUCUUGCUCACUCAUUUUUUAGCUCUUGUGCACUGUGAUCUGCUAAGCUUUUAGCUUUGAAGCUUCGGCUUUGAAAACAGUUUUUUAGUGUUUCCGAAGAUGUCUGAAGCUGCUAAGAAGGCUGCUGCUGAAAUGAAGCUGAGUCUUGAUGAAGAGAAGAACUUAGGGUUUCUUAUAGCAAUGUCGAAGACCAACACAGAAAAGAUCACCAGGGAAAUUCUGGAAGGGCUGUCUGAAGAUACUGGUGACAGUGAAAGUUAUGAUGUGGACAGCGGUGGCGAAGACUCCGAAGAUCGCCCCUGGCGACCAAGCCAUUCAGUUUAUGGUAAAUCAACUAUCAAAGAGAAUCAUCUUGUUAAUAUGAGAGGAAGGUAUUUCCGGGAUCUGUCCAUUGUGAGGGCGGGCGAAGGGGAAAAGACUUGUCCACACCCUGAAGAAAAUGAAGUUGUGGUAUACCGAAGCUUUUUGAAAGCCGGAUUGCGAUUCCCCUUGAGCAGCUUCGUCGUGGAGGUGUUGAAAAUCUUCGAAGUCUAUCUUCAUCAACUUACUCCAGAGGCUAUUAUAAGGCUAAAUAUCUUCGUGUGGGCCACGAGAAGCCAAGGUCUGAAGCCUGACGCAAGAAGCUUCUGUAAUGUUCAUGAAUUAUUAUAUGAAACAAAACCUUGGGGCAAAGAACAGUACCAUAACAACUUUGGCUGCUACAGCUUCGUCUCUCGGUCCGGGGCAAGCUGUCCCGUACCAACCUUUCGGAAGAGAUGGCCCGGGGAUUGGAUGACAGAAUGGUUUUAUGUGAAGAAUGACUUAUCAGCACGAGAAGACAUCAAAGGUAUAAUUAUGCGUCCUAUUUGGCAAAGCUUCGGCCUUCGGAGGCCGAAGGUUGAAAUGAACGAAGCCGCCGAAGAGUGCCAAAGAGCCUUCGGCGUUGUCUGCUCUUUUAUAGGAACAAGGGACUUAGUACAAGAGCAUAUUGCCUUCAGGGUGUGGCCGCUUGCGGAGAAAUGGGAAAUGCCACAAGAAAUCGUUAAAAAGGCCGACGAAGGUGGACUCGUCAGGUUUAAGUACACUUUUAAAUUUGAAGAUAAAUUUAUUGAGCCAGACGAUGAGUGGUUGAAAAGCAUUGACAAUUUAAGUGAUGAGCUGCUUGGGACAUACUCGAAGGCCGAAGAUACUGCAAUGUCAGCAGCCUUCGGAGGCCGAAAAAAGAAAAGGCUGAAUCGGGUAUUUGAUGCCAUCGGGUUCGUCUACCCUGACUAUUGCUACCCCAUUCGAAGGCAGAAGAGAAAAAAUACAACCUCUGCAAAAGAAGAAACUGCAGCUGCUCCUAGCGAGCCAGAACCGAAAAGGAAGAAGAUAAAGGUUCUUACUUAUCGACCGCGUUAUAUUGAACCAGCUUCGGUGCCUGAGUUUACCGGAGAGACUUCUUCGGCCACCGAAGCUGAAAAACCAGCCGAGCCAACUUUGCUGCCAGAAGUCACAGAAACAGCCGAAAUACCAACGAAGACAAAAUUGGAGCAAUCAAAAAUUUUGUUAUCAGAAACGAAAGAGAAGGCCGAAGCGCCAUUCACAGAAAAAAUGGAAGAGGUAAAGGAAGCAACCGAGGACUCCAAAACAUCAGAAGUUUUGAGUCCUGUGGCAAACAUUGAAACAGUAAGUAAUCAAAAAGUGCCAGCAGUGACUCCGAAAAGGAGAAUGGCUAAUGUGCUAGAUGUGCUGGAAACGAUCAAAUCUUCAAGCACCCCUCCGAAGAAGGCUGCCGUCACUCCUGAAACAACAGUCGAAGCUUCGGGUUCUAAAGCUCCAGAGCAAGAUACUGAAGCCGAAGCUGGGCCCUCAGAGCCCUCAAAGGCAAAGACCUUGGAAAGUGAGGCAGAAAAAAUAACAAAGCCAACUUUUGCUGAAGGAACUGGUGUUGUUACCCCCGAAGCAUCCAAAAUUCGUGAUUAUAUUUUUCGUCAUGCUUCGGGGAAAAAAUUAACAGAAAAAGAAGAACAAGAGGCCCAACACUAUGCCCAAAAGUUGAAAUAUCCAAAGGGAGCGUUGAUAUUUAAUGGCAGUGGAGAAGAAGAUUUCUUGUAUUGCCUCCCCGACAGCAAGGAAAUUUCUGUCUGUCGGGAGAUGAGCAGAAGCUUCGGAUUUCCAACUUUAGAAGACGGACUUUCGGUGCUGUCAAAGAACGAUCUGGCUGACAGCCUAGCUUACAACAGUUUAAAGGUGCGACAAAUGGAAUUCUUAUAUUUUUGUUGAAUUCAAAAUUUUUCGUUUGUUUAAAACUAUUAACACAGACAUAUUCCUGUCUGCAGGGCCUGAUACUCAGCAAUGCCCUCAGAGCACAGAAAGAUGCUGAGGACGAAGGAUGUACUAUAGCCCUGAGCAACCUUCGUUCCGAAGUAAUUGAACUGAGGAACGAAGGUCUCGAAAAAGACAAAAUAUUGCAUUCCUUAAUAAAUAAAAUAAAAGAAGACGAAGCUAUUUUCAAAGGUCAGGCCGAAGCUCAGAAGUGUGAAAUUGAAAACCUUCGUAAACAAUUAGCCAGAGCUAAAGAGGAAUGCAUACUUGAAGAAACAAGGCGAGAACUCAGCGACCAAUGGGCAAAUCAUUUAGAAGAAACUGUUAAAGAGCUUCGGUCAGCCAAGAAGAAAUGCUUCGACAAAUCUAUAGAGUGUGUCAAGAAAAUAAAAACUAGCUUCGCCAGCGUUGGCGCAUUUUCGCAAGAAGAAAACUUUAUAAGAGGUAACCCCGAAGGUCCCCUGGAAUGGAUCAAUCAUGAGUCGGAGGCCUUCGAGGAAAUCCUGAGUAGCCGCGGUGACAUCUGCGCUUUUUCUGGUGCCAGAGGGAUUGCCACUAUUUUGGAGGGGAAAGGAUGUGAACAUGUAAAGAUUUUAUCGCAGUCCGAAGCCACCUUGUCCACUGAAGAUAUAAAAGAUCCUUCAGCCGAAGCUAGCGCGGUUGGGGGAAAAUUUUUCACCGACAUCUGGGACAACGGUGGUAGAGAAAUGGCCCAAGAAAUCAUUCAGAAAAGCGAGAAAGGGAUUCAUGAGGCUAGAAAAGUAGCCGAGGCUGCUGAGAAAAACGCAGAGCCCGAAGGGCAAAUAGGUACUAGCGAAUAGUUUUCAUUGCAUUAUAACUUUUAAUCUUAUAGUUCGUUCGCGAUCUGUAAUAAUGAUGUAAUAGUAUCCCGUCCUCACUCAGAUCCUACUAAAGCAUCUUCGGGCCCUCAGCCUAAAGAUGACGACGAAAUUAAAAAGAUGGCCGAAGCUAUCAUGGAUCAGGUUGUCGAUCGACUGCUGAACGAAGCUGCAGAGAUAGUACUUAGGGAAGACUAAGUGCUAUUGCAAAAAACAUUUGAUAUAUGAUUUGUGUAAUAUUCUGUAAUCCUGUAUGUAAUAUACUUGUUUUAUGAUUCAAUUCUUUACGAUGCAUGAAACUUUAAACACGUACCAUUUUUGAGUCUUCGACGAAAAAACACCUUCCCUUCUUUUCAUGCUUCGUGAAGAAGAAUUUAUCAUUUAUCACGACAAUAUCCAUAAUGUUCUGAUAAGAAAUAUCCAAGCUUCGUAAAAAUAAUCUCCGAAGCUAUACCUCGAAAAUCAAUAUUGUUUCUCCCUGUAACUUGGCAUGAUUUGCCCUUUUUCAAAGCAUUUUCCGAAGAUCGAUAACAUGCCCCCUUCUUGUGCCACAUGCAGCAUGAUGUAUGAUGAUUAUGCUAUGCAAAAUGAUGUGAUGAUGUUAUGUUAUGCAAAAUGAUAUUUUGUGCCGAAGAUACGCACAUUCCUGCAAUGGGGCACAAUCUUUUGUAUCAAUACUGACUUUUUCAUUAUAAGCCUCCCUUAGGAGCUUCUUCGCCUUUUACUUCAGCGGAAUCAGCGUUUAUUUUUCGCUGUAAGUUCUGCAUCCCCUUAGGAACGUCUUUGGAACUUCUUCGCCUUUUACUUAGGCGGUAUAAGCUCUGCAUUCCCUUAGGAACGUCUUUGGAGCUUCUUCGCCUUUUACUUAGGCGGUAUCAGCGUUGACUUUUCGCUGUAUGCUCUGCAUUCCUUUUGGAACGACUUUGGAGCAGAAAACUUACACUGCGCUCCCUUCGGAACGACUUUUUGUGACUUCGUCAGACUUACUCUGCGUUCCUUAGAACGACUUUUUGUUGCUUCGAAGGAUUUUCGAUAGUCCGAAGGUCCUUUUUAUUAUCACAAACCUGUGAAGAAAACAUAUUUUUCUUGUAGGAAUCAACGAAACUAAUUACAUGAAACCUAAACAAUGUCCUUUAUUACAAAAAAUAAAACUGAAUGAAAAAGAUUGCUAUUAAGGUAGGAUAUUUGUCAAUAGAUGUGUUUUGACUCUGGCACGGUGCUGUUGACCGUGCGAGCUUCGGACUGUUCUCUGAAGUCCCUUUGAUGUGGAGCAUAUUGGCUCCCUUCUGGUUGCUGGCCUUGUUGCAACGGAGGUGGAGGCGGGGGCUGUUGCCAGGAAGCUGAAGGCUGACUUGCCGAAGCAGCAGAGAGUGCAGGAUGGUUGCCCACAUAUUCUGGGAUGUAGGGCGAAUGAUACGAAGCAGUGUGCAUGACCUGCUUCGGCUGAGCCUGUUGCGCGGCAGCUUCGGCUAUCUCUUUUUGCUUCUGAAUGGUAACAUGACACAUCCUGGUAGUAUGACCUUUGUUUUCACCACAGAAUAAGCAAAAUAUUCUUCUGGGUUGAUCCCCGAAUCUUCCGCCGAAGCCCCUGGCGCCUCUGCCUCUUGGAGCUGGUGGUCGGAAGGAGCUUUGCUGUUGCCCCGAAGCCUGUGAAGAGCACUGCGGUCUGUUCUGCUGACUCCCCUUAUCAUCAUUCUGAGUGGAGUUGUGGAUGGACCUGACAUGCCUCGGAUAGGAUCUUCCUCCGAAGCCCCUGGUCAUUUCGGAAAAUCUGAAGGCCUCCUCCCUUCUUUGGCGAAAGUCAUUGUCAGCACGAAUGUACUCGUCCAUCUUUUGGAGCAGCUUCUCCAGGGUCUGAGGAGGCUUCCUAGCAAAGUAUUGAGCAGCAGGUCCAGGACGAAGCCCCUUGAUCAUGGCUUCGGUGACAAUUUCAUUGGGCACCGUUGGUGCCUGCGCCCUCAAACGCAAGAACCUUCUGACAUACGCCUGAAGGUAUUCUUCAUGAUCCUGAGUGCACUGGAACAAGGCUUGAGCAGUGACCGGCUUCGUCUGAAAUCCUUGAAAGCUGGUCAAUAACAUAUCCUUCAGCUUCUGCCAUGAAGUGAUCGUUCCUGGCCGAAGGGAGGAAUACCAGGUCUGAGCAACACUCCUGACGGCCAUAACGAAAGACUUUGCCAUUACUGCAGCAUUGCCACCAUACGAAGACACUGUUGCUUCGUAACUCAUCAAGAACUGCUUCGGGUCCGAAUGGCCAUCGAACAUGGGAAGCUGGGGUGGCUUAUAGGACGAAGGCCAAGGUGUAGCCUACAGCUCAGCGGACAGAGGAGAAGCAUCGUCGAAAACAAAAUUUCCAUGAUGAAAAUUAUCAUACCAGUCAUCUUCAUUGAAGAAGCCCUCCUGAUGAAGGUCUUUUUGUUGAGGCCUUCGGUUCUGCUCAUCGUGGGUAAGAUGACGGACUUCUUCAGAAGCUUCGUCUAUCUGCCUCUGCAGCUCAGCUAGCCUGGCCAUCUUCUCCUUCUUCCUCUGCACCUGUUGAUGUAGCAUCUCCAUGUCCCUGAUCUCUUGGUCUAGUUCAUCCUCCUGAAUCGUCGGGCUGACAGCCUUCCUCUUCUGGUUUCGGGCCUCCCGGAGAGAGACGGUCUCCUGGUUGGGGUCCAGCGGUUGCAGUGCUGCAGCCCCAGUCGCUGAAGCUUUCUUCGGUGCCAUAGCGAGGGUCUAUAGCUUCCGAAGGUGUUCAAAAAACUCGAAGUGGAAGUGAGUUCACCGGAGGUGGGCGCCAAUGUUGGGGACUUGUUCUCAAAUGCUAAGAAUUAAGAACAAGGCAACAUAAAAAGUGUUAAGUGUUAAAGUCCUUCGUCCUUCGAAGCAUUAUGUCCCUUCGGGAAAUAAUGAGUUUCGGACGAAGGUCAUAAGAGACAUACCUUCGUAAACAUAACAAGUAAUGACGAAGGAUUCAUAUAAAGCAUGAAAUAUAAUAUAAGCAUCAUCAUAGAAUCAUUUCUAUUUUAUUAACAUGGAAAAAUAGAAAUGAUUUCAAAUUACAAAUGUACCUUCGGUCCUGAGAGAAGAUAAAAAGUACAAGCGUGACGCAAAAGCAAAUGCCAAGUCAGCGUGAACAGUACGGGAGUACUGUUCAUCUAUUUAUAGACGCGGGACGCAGCCCACGUAAAAUUACAUUUAUGUCCAUUACAUUUGUCAAUGACUUAUGGAAACCUGACAAGGUCCACGUAGUCUUUUCAUCUUUAAGUCGGUUCCCCUCUCUGCUAUCGCGACGAAGCUUCCCUGCGCACAGCUUCGGCUGUGCACCAUCCUUCGUGGAGCUUGGUAAUCAGCCCGUCCUUCGUCUGGUUCAGGCUUCGUCCUGACCGCACUUCAUGUUCGUAAUUCUGAGUCCGAAGGUACCUGUUCACAUAAUCCACUUGGAAAACAUUGUCAAAUCAUGUUUUUGAGGACCUUCGGAGGACGAAGGCCCCCAACAUCCAGCGCACCGGCGGACAAGUCGGCAACCAUCUCAGGAAGUGGAAAAGGAUUUAUGCGAAGAUCGAGAAGCUGAAGAACCUGGAUGGAGCUGUCUGGGAUGAACAUAAUUGCGUAAUCAGUCUUGACGCAGAGCAUUACAAUAACCAUAUUAAGGCAAGUGACCAGCAUCUUCUUACAGUUUGAUCGCUGCGGUUUUAGGUG